UUGUGAUAAACAUUCUUAGGUUGAGUUCUAUGGAGAGAAUCGGGCUAGUUGUUCUGGCCUGGAAGACAGAGGCUGGGCCUCCAUUGGCCCUUCUUGGAGUCUCUGAUACAGGAUGACUGGUGUCAGGAGAGUGUGGUGACUCUGGCCUGCUCUCUUCCCUCUGAAAUUUGGGUCUUUUGAAUUUUUUCUUUGUGUGUGUUAUCCCUUACCUCCUGUAAAUGGACAUGUGAAUUGGGACAGUGACUGCCAUCUUAAAGUCAGGAAGCAUUGCUUAGGCUCCUGCUCAGUACCUGGCCCCGUGUUAAAUGCUUUGCAGUUAUUGGUGCUGUGUAUCCCCUUUUACAGUGCUCCCUAUAGGUGAGGGGUCUGAGAGAAUUGAAAAAGUAGGAAGGGGUCAGUUUGUGAAGGGCCUGCAGAGCCCAAAAGAAGAUUUCUUGUUUCACCCUGGAGGUAAUAGACAGGCCCUGGAAUUUAUUGAGUUGAGGGCUUGGGUAACAUAGCCAGACCUGUAUAUUAGAAGAUCCUCUGACAACUGAGUGAUAGACCAGAGUGGGGAAAGACCUAAUUAGUGAUCUGACGUGAUCAGACAUGCACUUUUGGAAAAUGAUUUUGACAUCUGAAUGGGAGAGACUGGGGGUAGGAAGAUCUCCCCAUUCCAGCAGGAUAUUACAAUAGCUUAGGUAUGAGAACAUAAAAGUCUGCACCAGGGUAGGAGUAAUAGGGCAUAUUGGAAAGAUGCUGCAGAGUUGAAACUGACCAGAGAUGCUGCAGAGGUGAAAGUGACAAGAGAUACUGCAGAAAUGAAAGUGACGAGAUAUUACAAAGGUGAAAUGGAGGAGAGGUGCUGCAGAGGUGAAAGUGAGAAGAGAUAAGUGAUAAAAGAUACUUCAGAGGUGAAAGUGACAGAGAUACUGGAGAGGUGAAAGUGAGAAGAGAUAAGUGAUAAAAAGCUACUCCAGAGGUGAAAGUGACAGAUAUUUCAGAGGUGAAACUGACAAGAAAUGUUACAGAGGGGAAAUGGAGGAGAGCUGCUAUAGAGGUGAAAGUGACAAGAGAUACUGCAGAGGUGAAACUGACAAGAGAUACUACAGAGGUGAAAGUGACAAGAGAUGCUGCAGAGGUGAAAGUGACGAGAUACUACAUAGGUGAGAUGGAAGAGAGAUGCUGCAGAGGUUUGAAAGUGAAGAGGUAAGUGACAAAAGAUACUGCAGAGGUGAAAGUGACAAAAGAUGCUACAGAGGUGAAAGUGACAAAAGAUACUGCAGAAUUGAAACUGAUGAGAGAUACUGCAGAAGUGAGAUUGUCAGGCCUUGGCACCAUAAUGUGUAUGGGGUGAGAGUAAGGAAUUGAGGAUGAUUCUUGAGGAAGACUCUCAGAUUGGGAGCACAGGGAUUGGGAUGAGGAUGUUAUCCUCUCUAGUAUUAGGGAAGGUAGGAGGAAGGAGGUUUAGUGGGAAAGAGAAUGAGUUCAGUGAAAAUAAAUUUGUUACUCCCACUUCUGGAACUUUUAAUUAAAAAGUGGGAGAAGAAUUUUCAAUCAGUGUGGAAUGUGCUAUGUUGGACUCUGUUUGCCAGAUCUUCAUUUCAUUUCUGACCUGACUGUGCUUUUUAGAGUGAUGGAUGCUUUCUAAUCCAGUGCUGGGUAUUUUCUUGAAGAACCUUCUCAAGUGGGGUUCUGGUAUUCCUUGUCUUCAAUUCAGAGUUUCCUUUUUGUUGUUUUCCUUUAAAACCAAACUAAACCGCCCAGUCCAAACAACCAAACCAACCAAAUGCACGAAUAAUGCAUCCUGAGCUCUUGUAAUUUUCUUGACUCCGUUGAGGCUGGAAAGAAGCUGUGUUGGUAAACUAAGUUUGACUGGAAAGACCAGCAGUUCUAUUUUUCGAAAAGCUUUCUUAUUAUGUUGUCUUAUUCCUGGAUUCAGCACCAGGAUUUCCAUACCAUUUGCAGAUUCUCUUUUAGGAAAUAUUCAUGUUCAGUAUUUAUUAAGUGGCUACUGUCUGCAGAGCCCUGGGGUUCAUGCUCUGGAGGAUUAAAGGAGCUGGUAAAAGUUGCAGAAAGACUAGAUCGGGUGACAAAUAUGGAAAUGUGUUUAAAAAGAUUGCACUUGUUUAACCUCUAUCAGACAUGACCCUGCCCUCUGGAGACUUACUGCAUCAGAGAGAGUACUCUCCACUCAGACCACAAGAACUUUGAAAAUUCAGCAUAGUAACAAGAAUCAUUUUCACUUUUUCAGCACUGUCAGAUUUGCCAGUCAUUUUCAUGUAUUUUCUCUUCUAAGAGAAAAGGCCUGUAAGGAGCUAUUCUUCUGAUUUUUAGUCAAAGAAAAGGAAAGAUGAUUGGGAGGUAAUUGGCACAGGGCCAUGGGGCAAGUAAGAGUUUGUGGCAGGAUUUGAACUCCAGGCACUACUGACUGGGUGGUGUCUGUUCAAAUCCAAGACAACCAUUCAGCAUCACAGUGCUACAAGUCUGUGCUCCACGCAAUGAGGUCAAAGGACCAAAGUCAAGCAACUCUUUGAAGAGUCUUCUAGAAAAACAGCCAAUUCAUCCCUGGGGCUUGGAAUACUAAUGUAGGACAUCAAAAGAUCAUUAGAAGAAGAGAAAAGUUUGGCUUUAGAGGACAAAAGGGAAGAAGGGCAGAGACUGAUAGUCAAAACCAAGAUUCUGAGAGAUUCAGACGGCAGAGACGGAGGCAGGAGCUCAAGCUCUCGGAACCGAGGAGAGAGAUACGCCUCUAAGAAAGUUAAUCGGGCCCCAGGAAAGGAGACAAGACUUGGAAAGAGAUAAUAAAGGAUUUGGACUUUAACACCUGGCUGCACUUGUGCGAAUACUGAACUGAAACGAAGGCUGCCGCCGGAGAUCCCAAGAAAAUCUCAACAGAGAACAUUACAUUUUAGAGAGAAUGUUACAAGUUCCCACCAAAAAAAAGUUGUUGUAUUUUAGUACAAAUUGCUCCUUUUCUCAUUAAAAAAAAUCUCUUUGGGAUACAGACCAAGUAAUGGUAUUGCUAGAUCAAAAAACAUACACAGCUUUAUGGUCUUUUGGGCAUACUUCCAAACUGCCCUCUAGAAUGUCUGGAUCAGUUUACAGCUCCACCAAUGGUGCCUUAGUGUCUCAGUUUUCCUACUUCCCCUUCAACAUUUAUCAUUUGCCUUUUUUUGUCAUCUUGGAUAUUGGUCAGUCUGAUAGUACUAGGCAGUGUCUCCGAACUGCUUUAACUUGCAUUUCCUCUAAUCAGUAGUGACUUAGAGCAUUUUGUCAUCUGACUGUAGUUAUUCUAAUUUCUUUAAAAACUGCCCAUGCAGUUAAUUUGGGGACUGACUUAUAUCCUUAAAAAUCCGACUCCUCCUUUAUAUAUUUGAGAAAUGAGGCCUGAAGCUGAGAAACUUGCUGUACAAAUUUGUGGUUUUCUCUUUUCUUAACUUUGGUUGCAUUGGUUUUGUUUGUUCAAAAGCUUUUUAAUGUAAUGUGCUCAAAAUGAUCCAUUUUGCAUUUUAUAAUGUUGUCUUUUAUCUUGUUCUCCUUCUGUCUGACAAAUGAAUGAUCUCAUGCUUCCCUAA